ACACGACUACAUUAGAUACCCGGGUAGUCCAGAGUGUAAACGCUGCGGGCUUGGUGUUGGGGGUCCUUUGAGGGCGCCCAGUGCCGGAGAGAAGUUGUUAAGCCUGCUGCUUGGGGAGUACGUCCGCAAGGAUGAAACUUAAAGGAAUUGGCGGGGGAGCACCGCAACGGGAGGAGCGUGCGGUUCAAUUGGAUUCAACGCCGGACAACUCACCAGGAGCGACGGUUACAUGAAGGCCAGGCUGAUGACCUUGCCUGAUUUUCCG
rnacentral:rRNA from 1 species